rnacentral:rRNA from 1 species
GACGAACGCUGGCGGCGUGCUUAACACAUGCAAGUCGAACGGAAAGGCCCUGCUUUUGUGGGGUGCUCGAGUGGCGAACGGGUGAGUAACACGUGAGUAACCUGCCCUUGACUUUGGGAUAACUUCAGGAAACUGGGGCUAAUACCGGAUAGGAGCUCCUGCUGCAUGGUGGGGGUUGGAAAGUUUCGGCGGUUGGGGAUGGACUCGCGGCUUAUCAGCUUGUUGGUGGGGUAGUGGCUUACCAAGGCUUUGACGGGUAGCCGGCCUGAGAGGGUGACCAGCCACAUUGGGCCUGAGAUACGGCCCAGACUCCUACGGGAGGCAGCAGUGGGGAAUAUUGCACAAUGGGCGGAAGCCUGAUGCAGCAACGCCGCGUGCGGGAUGACGGCCUUCGGGUUGUAAACCGCUUUCGCCUGUGACGAAGCGUGAGUGACGGUAAUGGGUAAAGAAGCACCGGCUAACUACGUG